UUCCCAGUCCAGCAAAUCAGGGAAUUCUUGUGAUCACCCUGCUACAUCCAUAUACAUGUACGAACUCACGCACAUGCAUGCAGAGUAACAAAUCUCAUCUAUCUAGAACUCAGCUAUUUGGUAACCACACCUACCCAGAACAUAGCACAGCGGUAGGAAAUAAACCUGAAAGACUUUUGAACAGCCAAAAUACUCCUCAUAAAAUUCACACGCUGAAGCUUAGGCAUUUAGCUCAUGGAAGAGCCCCUCAGAUUCUCACAAAGAACCUGCUUGCUAUUAUUUUAUGCAUUACGCUAGCUAGCUUGUUUAUCUGGUUUCCAAACCCAAAGCAGAUUAGAAGCAUCAAAUUAGCCAGGUGGAGAAGGGCUGCAAGAGCGAGGCACAUCGAGAGCUGGGAGAGGUGACUGCAGACAGCCUGACAGCCAAGGAGGAGACAGGAAAAUGAGAGGAAACAGACACAGACAUUCACAGAAUCCUUCCUCAUAACAAAGAAAUCCCGCUAAACUGAACAAACCUACACACUGAGUCCAACACUUCUCUGCCAAGAGGGGAAAGGAAUGUCUUAUUUUUGGUCCUCUAGGGAUUAUUUUAUAGAUGAGGAAAAUGAGGCAAACAGGGUGAAGUGACUUGCCCCGGGUC